GGAUUCCCCUAGUAACUGCGAGUGAAGAGGGAAAAGCUCAAAUUUGAAAUCUGGUGGUUCUUGUGACCAUCCGAGUUGUAAUUUAGAGAAGUGUUACCCGCGCUGGACCGUGUACAAGUCUCCUCGAACGGAGCAUCAUAGAGGGUGAGAAUCCCGUAUAUGACACGGACUCCCAGGGCUUUGUGGUGCGCUCUCAACGAGUCGAGUUGUUUGGGAAUGCAGCUCUAAAUGGGUGGUAAAUUCCAUCUAAAGCUAAAUAUAGGCGAGAGACCGAUAGCGAACAAGUACCGUGAGGGAAAGAUGAAAAGAACUUUGGAAAGAGAGUUAAACAGUACGUGAAAUUGUUGAAAGGGAAACGCUUGAAGUCAGUCGCGUCUCUCAGAGAUCAACCUGGCCUUUUCGCUUGGUGCACUCUCUGUGGGAUGGGUCAGCAUCAAUUUUGACUGGGGGAAAAAGUUGGUGGGGAUGUGGCACCCUUGUGGUGUGUUAUAACCUGCUUGCAUAUACCUCUGUUGGGAUUGAGGAACUCAGCACGCCUAAAGGCCGGACUUUAGUCACGUACGUGCUUAGGAUGCUGGCAUAAUGUCUUCAAUCGACCCGUCUUGAAACACGGACCAAGGAGUCUAACAUGCGCGCGAGUGUUUGGGUGAAAAACCCAAGUGCAUAAUGAAAGUGAAAGUUGAGACCUCUGUCGUGGAGGGCAUCGACGCCCGGAUCAGAUCUUUUGGGACGAUUCCGAGGUAGAGCGUGCACGUUGGGACCCGAAAGAUGGUGAACUAUGCCUGAAUAGGGUGAAGCCAGAGGAAACUCUGGUGGAGGCUCGU
rnacentral:rRNA from 1 species